CGUAAGCGCGCGCAGGCGGUUUCUUAAGUCUGAUGUGAAAGCCCCGGGCUCAUCCUGGGAACUGCAUCCUAAACUGGCGAGCUAGAGUGCGGUAGAGGGAGGUGGAAUUUCCUGUGUAGCGGUGAAAUGCGUAAAUAUAGGAAGGAACACCAGUGGCGAAGGCGACCUCCUGGACUGAUACUGACACUGAGGUGCGAAAGCGUGGGGAGCAAACAGGAUUAAAUACCCUGGUAGUCCACCCCGUAAACGAUGUCGACUAGCCGUUGGAAGCCUUGAGACUUUAGUGGCGCAGCUAACGCAUUAAGUUGACCGCCUGGGGAGUACGGCCGCAAGGUUAAAACUCAAAUGAAUUGACUGGGGCCCGCACAAGCGGUGGAGCAUGUGGUUUAAUUCGAAUCAACGCGAAGAACCUUACCAGGCCUUGA
rnacentral:rRNA from 1 species